GCCGGUUCCUAGCCAUGAACUGUGUAGGGGAGGUGGCACGCGCGGCACCGUCGAGCUAGUCGCCUCCCCGCCCCCCGCUCUCUCCAGCGUCGGGAUCGGAGCCCUCCCGGGAGCUUGGCCGUGCUGCGGCCGGCCCCGGGCAAUCUCCGCGUCCCUCGCCUGCGGUUCGGGGUAAUAAUCCGGGGGCGCGCUCGAGUGCCGUCCUCCUCGCGGUGAAGCGAUGCAUCCGACGGCAACAGGUGCACCCGUGCGCCGGGGCAGUCUUGGCCCUGUUGUUAACCGGAGUGGCCGAGUCGCUUCCCUUCGAGGGUCGGUUCCUCGGGAGAGCUCCCGCAGCAGCCCGCAUGGCGUCGCCUUCUCGGCGUGGCAUGCGAGUCACAGCUGCAACCCCCCGUUGCGUCUCUGGACGUUGCGGGGCGGGGACACCACCCUUUCUGCGAUGCCUCCCGUGAGGCUUCUUAGCCUCUGGGCCCCGGUGGGGGCGAUCGCGGGACGGGGCGUGUGUCACAAACACUUAACCCAUCGGUGCAACUCGCGCCAAGGAACGAAAGGAUAGCCGCGCGGGACUCACGCCGUGCGCGUGUCGGAUCCCCGGCCCAAUGUG
rnacentral:precursor_RNA from 1 species